GGGGAGUACGUUCGCAAGAAUGAAACUCAAAGGAAUUGACGGGGGCCCGCACAAGCAGCGGAGCGUGUGGUUUAAUUCGACGCAACGCGAAGGACCUUACCUGGGCUUGACAUGCACAGGAAUGUCGUGGAAACACGGCAGCCCUUCGGGGCCUGUGCACAGGUGGUGCAUGGCUGUCGUCAGCUCGUGUCGUGAGAUGCUGGGUUAAGUCCCGCAACGAGCGCAACCCCUGUCCCUAGUUGCCAGCGAGUUAUGUCGGGGACUCUAGGGAGACUGCCGGUGACAAAUCGGAGGAAGGUGGGGAUGACGUAGCUAAGCCUUC
rnacentral:misc_RNA from 1 species